GUUAUGAAUAAAAUGCAACGACAAACUGUGUGAGCGCCCCUUUGAUAGUCAAUGCAGUAAAGUGCAAUGACACUGUUAUUGAUCCCCCUCGAGGGGGCCCCUCUCAGUCGCUGACAGCAGCCAGCCAGCCAGGUUUGUGAUCUCUGCUGCCUGCAAAAUACAAAACCUCGGCAGUCAUGAAGCGGAAUUAUGAAUCAGGAAGCCAUAAAAGAAAGAAGAGAAAGGAAGAGGAGGAUAAGAAAAAACAAGAUAGUGGAUUUGAGGACUCCCAAAACUGGGUCGGGGGCUGAAAGUGGAGAGGUGACUGUGGCGACGUGGCAGUAUUUUGACUUGAUGCACGAGGUUCUUGGUGCCCGGCCAGCAAUUGACCCACCAGUCCUUGUGUCAUCUAUUCAAGACCCCAUGGUUAUCCUCAUGGAGAUGGUGGAGCCCUACACCCAAGCACCCCCGACAGCAGCCAGCACCCCACUACACCCUACCACAUCCAUCAUACCACCACGAAGGAGGUCCAAAACAGUGGCAGAACUCCUGGCUGAGGAGGCCCUUCAGGAGCAGAGGCGCCAUGAAGACAGUGAGGCCAAGACGGAUCGCUUUCUGGAUCUCUUUGAGAGGAUGAUAAACAAAUUAUAAUUAUUGAUUACUGUUGUUCCUAUGUUUUUUAUUCUUGCUAUUUAUUAAUUUAUGCUAUUUAUUAUUCCUAUUUAUUAUUGUUAUAUAUAUUUCUAAUUGUAAUGUUACUUGUUGAACAAUUAAAUAUUCUUGUUUACAAAAGUUUUUUCUAUGUGUGAUAAAUGCUACAAGAAGCAGAUAGUUUUAAAACAUUUUUUUUCUAACUAUCAAUCAACAAAUAAAUAACAAAGUAUGAACAUAAUCAUCAGGAUAAACUUGUAAGGGAACAUAAAUACCAACAGGUAACUGUAGAAAAACUAUUUACAAGUGAUUAGUAAGCGUAAUAACAUUUAAACUUCAUAUGAAACUUGGGCAGCCAGUGAGUCUCGGAUAACAAAUCCUGGUGUUUCAUUGAGUCCAAUUUGUUCUUGAGGGGGAUGGGGGUCAAGGUCAUCCCUGGCAAUGUCUUCAUCAGGAUCCAGUGUGUCUCCAUUAUUUAAGCAAACAUUGUGCAAGGAGGCACAGGAAGCAAUGACCUGUGGGGCAAAGGUAGGCUUGACUUCUAGCGCCCAGAAAAGGGUUGACCUCCACCUUGUCUUCAUCAUCCCGAAGGCCCGCUCUAUCACACAACGCGCCUUGGAUUGGCGGUAAUUAAAGCGCUGCUGCACCCGCCCAAUCAACGGCUCUUUAUAGGGAGUCAACAGACAUACGGGCGUCUGGAGGCAGGGGUACCCACCAUCACCUAAAAGCAUGUAACCCGGCGGUGGAUACCUGGCAGUCAAAUAAAAAUAACUGUUUUUCAUUACCCUUUUGUCAUGGACAGACCCUGGGUAGCCCACAAAAAUGUCCAAAAAUGUCCCCUUUCCAUCGCAUAUGGCCUGCAUGUUAAUUGAAUAAAAGUUCUUGUAAUUUAGAUAGUCUAAUCGAUGUAGUUGUGGUGGCUUGAUCCGAAUAUGGGUUCCAUCGAUCGCCCCGACAACAUUUGCAAAAGCAGGGGUCCCUGAUAGAUCAGCAAACCCUUGCCCUACUACUUUCAGCUCCUCAUAGGCCUGUGGGAAGGAGAUCACCCUGUUCAAAUUGUUCCAGAUACUUUGUGCCACCCGGUGUAUAACUCUGUGCACAGUUGCCUUCGGUACACUGAACACCCUGGAUACCACCCGGUAUGACAAUCCAUGGGCAAGCCAAUGUGUGUAGAUCAGGAUUUCAAAUUGAUUCCCCCAACCAUGAUCUUGGGGAGGAGCCUCUGCAGGCUGUUCAUGGCACGUCUGGACAGGCGAAAAUCUUGCCACAGUUCAGCCCCCUCAUCGCGCCAUAUCCGCAGGAUGGGCACAGCCGCAUCCACCCUGCAAUACAUAGGUGGACGAUCCGCCUGGAGAAACAAAAAGACUGAUGAUCAAACUGGGGUCGAGAUGAUGCCUCAUGAAAUGUCAAAGCCUCUCAGCCAGAUGAACCACCAAAGUGGUUCGAUAAAAUCAUUUGAGAAUUCAUAAAUCAGUUGGCUAAGAUUUUCAGAUCGCGGGACAGCACAACGUAAUUUCGCCUAUGAAUCCUACUCGAUACGGAGCUUCGCUGGGGAGGAGCCGACACCAACUUGACGCACGCCCCGAUGCCUCGACGCAAACCAUUACAUCACUAUUUAAAACCACUUGAUGAUAACAUUUCCUAACUCACCCGGCACUGACAAAAAUAAAUGAACACAUACAUGGUUAAAAAACAGAUCGUAUACAAACACAUACGAAAGCUAGCCUACAUUUCCAGCUGAGCCGGCUGGCUAACUGAUAUUUCAUACAAUGAAAAAAUAAAGAAGAGUUAUACGUACCAUCAUUUGAUUAGUUAUAAUGUCGGUUGCCUUCCCCAAGGCAACGGACAUUAUAACCGGUGAGGACGGCAUCAUGAAUUAAUAAUUAAUGCGACUCAAUUGCCACCUUUGAGAGGGGUCUGUGCGCGUGGAACUCAACUGUAGACAUACCCUAUAUCAAGGUAGUGUAAUGUUCUGUUACGUAAUUGGAUGUUUUAUGUGUUUUUCCUUCUGAACACCCACUGAUCGUACCUCAUACGAAUUAACGUUUUAACAUUAUUUAGGAUCUUCAUGCUCUUCCACCGGCACAUUUUGCAUGUUUCCAUCGGUUAUUGUCUACUUUUAAUAAAGAAACCAAAUGCAAUAUGUUCUUGUACUGUUGUGCUUUGAUAUAGUGGUCAGUUAGAAUGAAGAUCAAAUCACAUUCCAGUGACCAUAAUGUGUUUGUGCAUGUAAGACGUGGAUUUUUGUAGCCUAUCAACAAAUUAUUCACGACAAGACACGUCUUAUUUUGCAUAGCUCCUCCAAGCGAUGUGUGUGUACACUAUCGAUUGAAGGAGCUUGGCUAGAUUUCAUUCCAACCAACUAUGGCAAUGUUUUGAUACGUUGAGGGGAGUGUCUUAUGUCUGCAUUUAUUUGAAAGAGCAUAUGCACAGAAAAGCAGACGGACGGAGUUGCAAUGGAGAUCCUGCGAGUUUUUAAAGCCAUGUGACGCGUCACAUCACAUAGGGAAGUUAACGCCAGCAUUUCUGACGUUUUUAUCCACUAAUUCAUUAUGUUAUGUGAGGCAACGCAACGCAACGUAUGCUUGAUCUGAAACAUGCCUACUCUUGGCCUCUGUUGACAUAGCAGUCAGCUGUCCGCAGUCAGCGACGAUGAAGCCACGUAAUGGAGGGGCGUCCCGUUUCUUAG
rnacentral:lncRNA from 1 species